rnacentral:rRNA from 1 species
GGCGGACGGGUGAGUAACGCGUGGGGAACCUGCCCUGUACCGGGGGAUAGCAGCCGGAAACGGCUGAUAAUACCGCAUAAGCGCACGAAUGUCGCAUGACAUGGUGUGAAAAACUCCGGUGGUAUAGGAUGGACCCGCGUCUGAUUAGCCGGUUGGUGGGGUAAAAGCCUACCAAAGCGAAGAUCAGUAGCCGAGUUGAGAGACUGACCGGCCACAUUGGGACUGAGACACGGCCCAGACUCCUACGGGAGGCAGCAGAC